AGCAGCCGCGGUAAUUCCAGCUCCAAUAGCGUAUAUUAAAGUUGUUGCAGUUAAAAAGCUCGUAGUUGAAUUUCGGGAUCAAUUUAUCGGUCGUGCCAAUGGUAUGAACUGGUACAAUUGGUUUCUCCCUUCUGACGAAGCAUGAUGUCAUUAAUUUGGUGUCGUGGGGAAUCAGGACUGUUACUUUGAAAAAAUUAGAGUGUUUAAAGCAAGCAUUAGCUUGAAUACAUUAGCAUGGAAUAAUGAAAUAGGACGUUUGAUCCUAUUUUGUUGGUUUCUAGGAUCGACGUAAUGAUUAAUAGGGAUAGUUGGGGGCAUUAGUAUUCAAUUGUCAGAGGUGAAAUUCUUGGAUUUAUUGAAGACUAACUACUGCGAAAGCAUUUGCCAAGGAUGUUUUCAUUAAUCAAGAACGAAAGUUAGGGGAUCGAAGACGAUCAGAUACCGUCGUAGUCUUAACCAUAAACUAUGCCGACUAGGGAUCGGAUGAUGUUAAUUUUUUUAAUGACUCAUUCGGCGCCUUACG
rnacentral:rRNA from 1 species